CCUACGGGAGGCAGCAGUGAGGAAUAUUGGUCAAUGGACGAGAGUCUGAACCAGCCAAGUAGCGUGAAGGAUGACUGCCCUAUGGGUUGUAAACUUCUUUUAUAAAGGAAUAAAACGAGGCACGUGUGCCUUUUUGCAUGUACUUUAUGAAUAAGGAUCGGCUAACUCCGUGCCAGCAGCCGCGGUAAUACGGAGGAUACGAGCGUUAUCCGGAUUUAUUGGGUUUAAAGGGAGCGUAGAUGGGUUGUUAAGUCAGUUGUGAAAGUUUGCGGCUCAACCGUAAAAUUGCAAUUGAUACUGGCAGUCGUGAGUACAGUUGAGGUAGGCGGAAUUCGUGGUGUAGCGGUGAAAUGCUUAGAUAUCACGAAGAACCCCGAUUGCGAAGGCAGCUUACUAAACUGUGACUGACAUUGAUGCUCGAAAGUGUGGGUAUCAAACAGGAUUAGAUACCCCAGUAGUC
rnacentral:rRNA from 1 species